GGAAAGGCGGGCGGUGUACCUGAGCACGUUAAGGAGUUUCCUAUCGCUCAGCUGGGGACAUGUCCCCUGGCCAGUGCUUUAAAAUACAUGGCUGGAUCACAUAAAAAUACUUUCCUGAGCUUGACUGGGUAAGAGGAGGGGAACCACGGUGCAGAAGGAGCACAUUCACUGCGACUGUGAUCAUCUUCAGCCUUUUUGAAAAUGUGGAAAGGAGGAUGGCUUUGUUAGGUCCAGCUGAUGUCCUUGGGCUUGAAUGGGAAAGCCUAUUUGGAAAGCUACAUGUUACUAUGAUCUCUAUAUGUAACUGGAGAGGUGGCUCAUGCCAACACAUCUAUCAGGUUGUUGGGUCACUUCAGAGCUCUGAAAAGGGAUGAGCAACUUCCAUGAAUAACAAGAGAAAACAUGCUGGGGAAGACUUUGUCCUACGGAAGCUAACAACUAAAGGUUUGAUUCAUUUCCCACUGAUGUUGGAUGAAAGAUUUCUAAUGGAUUUGCUGGCUAUUGGAACGAGCCUUAUGGCCUCUCAUUAUGCAGAAAUCUUGCUAAAAGCCAAUAUGGAUGAAUUUAUCAGCUGCAGUAAAUAUUUUAUAAAUGACAUGCAUCCCCAGAGUGCAGUGGAAAGAGGUUAUGAUGUAUUUUUACUUGCAUGCAUUUUGGCAGAACACUGUGAUCAUUCAUAAAUGAUUAGCUACUGUAACUUGGAUAAGGGAAAGUGCAUCCUGCCAGAAAAGCAAACAUCAAAACUCUCCUGGGCCAUGCAGAAUUAGGGCACCUCGUGUGUAUUUUAUUUGCUGUCUCAUCCCACAGACAAGGAGUAGCUUUGAAUAUGGAAGCUUGUGCCUGGGACUCCAGAAACUCAAAGAACUAGCUCAGUCAAUAAAAAAAAAAAAAGCAUAUUCACAUUUUUCACAUUCACAUAGUGCCUUCUGCUCGCUUCACUUCAGAUAUAUUUUACAUGUUAAGAAACGUGCCUGUUCCAUCACAAUGAGGGAACUCUGCUAUCUGUCCCAAAAGAUGAUCUGAUCACUGUGUCCAAGUGCCCUCACGCUGGCAGUUGAUGUCUUUAGAACUGUCACCAAACUGAUGGCAAAAAUUUAUUGAAAAUACCAUGCUGUAGUAUUAAUAAAGGUUUGGAGCAAGGGGAUCAAGGUCUUCAUCUGAUGGUCUCUGUUCUGUCCCACCCAUUUCCUGGGAGGAAACAGGACCUGGCCUUAGGGAAUGCCAUCAUGAGGAGAGGCUGCAGAGGAAGGAGUACUGUGGUCCCCAUCCACACGAUGCUUCCUCUCAUAUGCAUCCUAACCCUAACCUUAAGCCAUGCGUUGUAACCUGUACCCUUCUUUGGGCUCACAGCCCCCACAGUGACCCAGCAAAAUGGCUGCUGUGCUCUGUUCCAUCACUGCACAGACAGACCAAGCGAGCAGCUCCUCUCUGGCUUUCAGAAGAGGGUAGAAGGACAGAGUGGGGGUAUGAGUGGUUAGUGGUGCGACGGAUGCUGAGGGCCGUGCGCGAGAGUGUACUGGCAAUAUUACAGUACCAAACUUAUUCUGGGACCUAAUAUUUAUGAGUUAUUUGGUAGUGUAUGUGCUCAAAAUUGCAGUGUCCUCGUGCUGUCCGUGUGCUGCCCCGCACAGGAAGUGGCAGAUUCUUCUGAGGCUGUUGUGUCAACACUGAGCAGUAAGAAAUGGCCUUGGGCUUGAUGGCUCUGCCCUUGCUGGGACCUGUGAGGUGACUGAGAGCCCACGGACAGCAAGGCAAGGAGGAGGCACGGUGACAAAACAGAUCUCCAAUAGCAUGCAAGCAGCACAGCUGGAGGGCUGCAGCCAAGAACUGCCGCAUCACGAUGAAUAUGGUACUUACCCUUGACUGCUUCUGAGGAGUCAGGCUCAAAAAAUUUCCUCUCGGGAGGCUGUGUCGGUAGGUGGAGAGUAAGUGCUUUGUGAGCUCCAGAGCCCCAGGGAAGAUUGGAGUGCGGGUUCUGCAGAGCUGCGCCCUUCAUUAUGCAGUUCUGGUUCCAAAAAGGGACUGCUUCUGCUUCGAAAGGAAGCUUCUAAAGGUCUGCAAAGUGAAUGAGAGAGGGGUCAGUGCUUUUGCCCUGAGAAAAAUCAGUGUGCUUCUAGUUAUCAAGUUU
rnacentral:lncRNA from 1 species